UCACACUUUUCAAUCUAUCCACAAAGUCACUGCCACCUGCUCCACUCUUCUCUGGUCUCUGCCAGCACCGUCGCGGUCCAAUCCGGCACUCGCUGCCAGUCUCAGCCCAUCUCCCGGCGUCGCUAUUAGGCUCUUUCUCCCCGUCGUUCAUUCUCAGUAUCUCUGUUCUAUCUUCUCUCUUCGAGUCGUCGUCAGCACCGUGGUGCUCCGUCUCCUCCUUCAUCCUCCACUUCCAGAGUUCCAAUGGAGCCUCAACCUCAGGAUGAUCAUGAAGGUGUUAGGAACGUGGAUGAUGACAACUUUAUAGACGACACUGGGGUGGAAGCUGGUGGUUACUAUUAGCAGUGAUGAACCUCGUUCUCUUGGUGAUGCUCCCCAAGUUGAUGAUUAAUUCUCCUGAAUUUUUUCUUUUUACUGCUAGAUUCUCCUGUAAGCAGAAUAGCAGAUCCACUGUGUUUGAUAUCCUUAUGAUUAGGAUAAUGUUUUGGUACCAGUAGCAUGUUGUAAACCAAAAUAUGUGAUGGAUGUAACUUAAGCUUUCUUUUCAUUUCAAGCUAUUUGGUCUCUUUUAUAACCAAAAUAUGAUCUAUUCCAAAAUAUGUUGAUUUUCUAAGCAGAGGAAGGUGAAGAGGAUGAUGAAAUUAAGGAUCUUUUCAAGAUAGGUAAGAAAAAGAAGAAGAAUGAGAGAAGUCUUGCAGAAAUAGCUUUAUUAGUUGAGAACGUCUGACUUCCGCGAUUCACAUUCCUGGAACAAACACGAUUCAGACUCCUGGAACCAACCACUAAACACUGAUCGAUAUUUCGGCCAAUCGGAAAGAAGA